CCGGCAAAAGAGGGAUGGAUUUUGGAGUGCCGGGAGAAAGGAGGGUAUGAAUUUGGUACUUCUAGUUCUUCUGAAGCUCCCUACUCAAUGGAAUAUGUAUGGAUACCCCAGUUUCACAGCAUCUGAGAGCCUGGGGAGAGAGAGACAAGUGGAUGUAAACACAUGGAGAGAGAGCUCCGUGCACUGUCUGUGCCGACACACACCUCCCUCAGACGCCUGGGUGCCAGAGAUAUCCACAGGGUAAAUCCAG
rnacentral:lncRNA from 1 species